UAAAAAUUUGAACAAGCUGCCAGUUUUGGGCACUUACGAUCCAUAUACAGCAUCCACCACAGUAUUUCAAUAACUGAAAACAGCAAGGUCCCUGCCAGAGCGCUUUGGCAAUGUUUACAUAUCUUGUGGACAAUCCAUCCCCUUACACUGGUGCCAGGAUGAAAGCGUACAAAAGUACAGAGUUAGUGUUUUCGAUCUGAAUGGGUCAAUAGUGCUGCCAUUUGGGACAUGAAAGCCAAGAAAUUCUUCACUGUCAGAGGAAAGGCCGGUGGCUGGCGCACAGGAAACAAAGAUUGCUCCUGUCUCCUCCCGCGACUACAGCAGUCGCGGGAGGAGCUGAAGAGACAGACAUCGAUGCUUCAGCGCCACCAGUGUUUUGGACGGCCAGAGAGUACGGGGCGGCGGGGCCACCGACACACCCACGGCUCAUGAAUGGUGCACCGGGCGGAAAGAAUUCCACCAUCGAGCAGGCGAGGGGAGAAUAUAAAAAGGGCAAUAUUCCACGCGCAAGAGACGAAGAGGAUCUCCGAACGAAGUCGACGCGAGUGAAGGCUCCGCUUCCUGGUCGUCACCAAAGACAGCCAAGACCUUCACCGCCCGAUCGCACUUCAACACACACACACACACACACACACACGCGCGCACCCGCACCCGCACUCCCCUCACAUCUGUCUUGAAUAAAGAUCCCUCCACAAGCAACCCUAAAACAGCCUCAGCCUCCUGUGUGUCUGUGCUCCGCCCACCGCAGGCUAAAUUCCCUACAGUGACAAAUUACACAAUUUACAUUUUGUAGUAAUUCAAAUUGUAGUGCAUCACCUUUAUUAAUAGGCACGGUUUCAAAGAGGAUCAAAUAUUUGCUUGUCCAAAUAGGUCUAAAAAGGGAACAAUUUCCAUGGGUGUACUUACUUUUCCCACACAGCAACCAGCUGAAUGUACAAGCUUAAUUUCUACAUUUGUUACAAAAACAGG